rnacentral:rRNA from 1 species
UGGCGGACGGGUGAGUAAUGUCUGGGAAACUGCCUGAUGGAGGGGGAUAACUACUGGAAACGGUAGCUAAUACCGCAUAACGUCGCAAGACCAAAGAGGGGGACCUUAGGGCCUCUUGCCAUCGGAUGUGCCCAGAUGGGAUUAGCUAGUAGGUGGGGUAAAGGCUCACCUAGGCGACGAUCCCUAGCUGGUCUGAGAGGAUGACCGGCCACACUGGAACUGAGACACGGUCCAG